rnacentral:lncRNA from 1 species
AAGAGGAAGAUCUGAAAUAGGCCUGGCAGCUUGAUUGGGGUUGGCUGAUUCUGCCAACAAUAUGUAAAAUGUGUUUUUCAAGGAUAAGAAGUUUGGGCCCUAGACAAACAAAGCUCCUGUCUGCCAUCAGCAAGAAGAUACAAGAUCUCUGUGACCCCACUAUGCUGUUUACCUUUGUUCUUAAACAGGAGUCUGCCUUCCGCAGACCCAGGGCUGCUCUCCCUUUAACAGAACCCCAUUGCCUGCUGGGUGUGACCAUGCCAACCUCCAGUGAGGUGAGACUCCACAAGGCUUCCAUUCUUGGCAGCUAAGCUUUCAUUGUUGCUUAAGAGGAACCUCUGUCUCCUGGAAACAGCCAUGAGACGAUAGACGGACUUAUUCACCUGCAUACAGGCGGACUCAGACCCUUCCCAGGAUGGCCUGGUGCCCUACAGGCAGAGGAAGC